rnacentral:misc_RNA from 1 species
GAUGAAGAACGUAGCGAAAUGCGAUAAGUAAUGUGAAUUGCAGAAUUCAGUGAAUCAUCGAAUCUUUGAACGCACAUUGCGCCCGUCAGUAUUCUGGCGGGCAUGCCUGUUCGAGCGUCAUUACGCCCCUCAAGUCCCCUGUGGACUUGGUGUUGGGGAUCGGCGAGGCUGGUUUUCCAGCACAGCCGUCCCUUAAAUUAAUUGGCGGUCUCGCCGUGGCCCUCCUCUGCGCAGUAGUAAAACACUCGCAACAGGAGCCCGGCGCGGUCCACUGCCGUUAAACCCCCCAACUUUUUAUAGUUGACCUCGAAUCAGGUAGGACUACCCGCUGAACUUAAGCAUAUCAAUAAGCGGAGGA